rnacentral:rRNA from 1 species
CGAGGAAUAUUGCACACUGGACGCAAGUCUGAUGCAGUAACGCCGCGUGGGGGAAGAAGACCUUCGGGUUGUAAACCUCUUUUGUAAAGACGAGUGAGGACGGUAUUUAUAGAAUAAGUCUCGGCUAACUACGUGCCAGCAGCCGCGGUAAGACGUAGGAGGCGAGCGUUAUCCGGAUUCACUGGGCGUAAAGCGCAUGUAGGCGGUUCGUUAAGUCCGCGGUUAAAGCCCCCGGCUCGACUGGGGGAGGUUCGUGGAGACUAAGGGACUUGAGGGCAACAGAGGCACGUGGAACUCCCGGUGUAGCGGUGGAAUGCGUAGAGAUCGGGAAGAACACCAGUGGCGAAGGCGACGUGCUGGGUUGCAACUGACGCUGAGAUGCGAAAGUGUGGGGAGCAAACG